GAUAAAAGAAUUUUAUUCAUGUAUAAAUUUACAAUUUAUCUCUUUAUUCAGACAUUUUAUC
rnacentral:tRNA from 1 species